ACUGUCCUUAUCUUGAGGUUGUGCUAUUGUUCAAGGAAUGUCUAGUGAGAGCAGUACUGCUAACUCCUACACAAAAAUCAGCAUCCUUGGGGAUUGUUCCCCAAAUGUGUCAAGUUUGAUUCA